ACAACUUCUAACAUUAGUAUAGUACAUUUUUCUAUGCUGCUCAAAUAUGAGCGUGUACUACUUUUUCUUGCUUUGUGUUAUAUUUGUGGUACAUCCAAAUCAUGUUAUUUGUAGCCAAACAUACAAUGACACAGAAUGCCCAAAAAUUACCCCUGGAUCGGCAUCUUCCACCUUCACUGCUGCACUGAAGUAUUUUGCAGGAGAGCAAUGCAAUGUUUACAGUGAUGUCCAUCCCAAGUCAGAAGUUAAUGAUCAUGAAGAAUUCGAUUUUAUAAUUGUUGGCGCUGGAACUGCUGGGUGUAUUGUAGCAAGACGUCUUGUAGAUCAAAAUUUCAAUGUUUUACUUCUUGAAGCUGGUUCAGACCCACCUGUCGAAGCAAAGAUUCCUAAUUUGGUCACCUCAAUUUAUAAGACGAAAUAUGACUGGCAGUAUUCAACUGUUAACAAUGGUCGAACAAGUCAAGCACUGAUUAAUGGAAAUACGUACUGGCCUCGUGGAAAAAUGCUUGGUGGUAGUCACCAACUAAAUAUGAUGUUCUACUACAAAGGAGCAGCACAUGACUAUAAGUCUUGGGAAGAACUCGGUAAUAAUGAAUGGAGCGAACAAAACAUUAAAAAAUUUUUCAAGAAAGCAGAGAGCUUACAAAGUCAAAAAUUACUAAAUAAUAAUGAAAUAUAAAAUUUCU